rfam:Acinetobacter sp. ANC 4218 Contig9, whole genome shotgun sequence.
GUUCACUGCCAUACAGGCAGCUUAGAAA